CGGCGAGACAGGCGUGGGGGGAGGUGGUCUCAGCGUGGGCUUCCAGGGCUUUGAGCAGAAAUAACUUUCUCUUGAGCUGCAUGCUGCGUUGCACAGGUCAAUCGCUUUGCAAUAGGGCAACCAGCGGAUGUUGCGUAAAUGAGGCGCGGACUGGAGUCUAAACUGACAGAAUGACAAAAGAAACAGCUAUUGGACUAUGGGAGUCAGCACUGUACUGAAAACAUGUGGUAAGAAUUCCACCUUGAACCACAUCUAGUUAAGUUUACGAAGCAUUUUAUUUUUAUUUUUCUUGUAACCUUUUCUGACUUUAAUGCCUCAUUGCUUGUACUCACUUAAAAUCUUCUCUUUGUAAUUAAAUAAACUUGUUUUGUUCUUGUAGUUAAAGUUAAUCCAGUGUUGUGAAUUGUUUGAGUAACUGCAUUUAAGGUGACAAGCUGUUGUGUAUUGAUCUCCUUAGGGGGCAACAGACCUAGUAUAUCUGGACUGUCCAGGAAAGGGCUGGACAGUGCAAAACACAUAUUUUUUUUUGAUGAAAAUCCAGGAAUUGUGUCGGAGUCACCCUGUAAGUAAGUAACCAAGGUGGCUAGAAGCCAGAUUGUGGCUGGUGUUUGCUGAUUAUUUGCUGGACCAGGCUGUGACUAUACACAAGUACUCAGGGUGUGACCUGCAUGCUGGCAGGCUGUUUGUGAGUGACCCAAGUUGCAACCUACAAUAGCGAAGCAUUGUGAGGCACUUCAAGUUGCAGUGCAAGUGGUGACGCUCAGUGAUUUGAACUCCACCCUGGAAUAUCAUACCCUUUGAAACACCGGGCAUUGGCUGCUGUUAGAAGACAGGAUACUGGGCUAGAUGGACCAUUUGUCUGACCCAGUAUGGCUGUUCUUAUGUAGGUGAGUUAUUAAAAUGUUUAUUAUUUAUUAAUGGAUUAUUAGAAUAAGAAAAUGUGCUUUGAGUGGCUAAAUGUGACAGUGCCCCCCCCCAUAAGGCUUUAUGGAAUAAGCUUAUGAAUGUAUAAAUGACAUAACUAGAAUAUGUUUUAUACUACAUAUACCAUGUAACAUAUCUCUGUAAAGGUUAUGAUCUACUGAAAACAUUCCUCCUAUUUGUAUGCAUGUAUCAUUUUUGUAUUUGAAGUAAUGAAUAUUGGCUGUGUACUUCCUUGAUUUUUAAGUAGCCUUUGUAAAGAAUUUGGUCAGCUUCUUGAGAAAGGAAUGUGCAAAUUAAGUGCCCAAUCAAGAAGCACUUAAGGGACAGUGGAUCUUGGAAGGCUCCAAUCCACAUAAAAAGUCUGCAUGAGAACCUUCAAGGUAGUAUGUGAGCGAGCGCUGCUGCCUGUAAAAACUGAAUCAUGCAUGGACAUGUGAUUUGCCCAGGUGACUCCAAAACUCCAUCUUGGAGCUGGACUUUGCAUAGGAGGGAGGAGGGGGUCUCCAUCCACAAGAAAAAGUCUAUUUAAGCCCAUGAGAGAUCCCUCCAUUCUGUCUUCAACUGGCUAAAGAGAUCCCUCUUCACCCCCAAAGAUACCUGAAAGAAACUGGAACAAAGGACAGUAACUACAGGCGGUGUGAGUGAUUGCUGGACCCAGACUAGAAGGAGACUAGUCUGUAAAAGGAAGCUUACUGGAGUUCCUCUGAGGGUGCAAAUGUUUCUAUGCUCCCCAUAUCAUCUCUGUCCCUGAGGUUAUCGCAAAUUAGAAGAUUAAAAAAAUGCACUCAUGAUGACAUGUUUUCUGAGCUCAUGCAGUUCUCCCACACUGAUAGGGCACAGCUGAAUGAAUGCCUGGAGGCAUUCAGUGGCAGAGUCCAGGAAAGCAUUAAGUGAGCGCAAUGAGAAGAGGCAGGAUGCAAUGCUGAGGCUAAUGGGGGAGCAAACGGAAAUGAUCAGGUGCUUGGUGGAGCUGCAGGAAAGGCAACAAGAGCACAGACUACCACUGCAUCCAUUGUAUAACCACCUGCCCUCCUCACUAAGUUCCAUGUCCUCCUCACUCAGAUGCCCAAGAACGCAGGGGUGGGAGGAGAGGCUCCGGGCACCCAGCCACUGCACUCCAGAGGAUGGCUCAAGCAACAGUAGGCUGUCAUUCAAACAGUUUUUAUUUGUAGUGUGGCUACAAUAAGCAAUGGGACCUUGUCCUUCCCUCCUUCCCCACCCCACCCAGGCUACCUUGUCUAUUACCUCUUCUUUUUUUAAAAUUAAUAAAGAAAGAAUGCAUGGUU